UGUUCGCUUCUGGUACCGGAAGAGAGGUUUUCUGGGUCUCUGUUUCUUUGAUGAGAAUGAAACACACCCAGCUAACC
rnacentral:miRNA from 1 species